rnacentral:rRNA from 1 species
GGCUUAAUGAUAUUAAUUUUAGGUCUAUCUGCCCAAUGAUGACUUAUUUAAUGGCUGCAGUAUAAUUGACUGUACAAAGGUAGCAUAAUCAAUUGUUUUUUAAUUAAAAACUGGAAUGAAAGAAUUAAUGAGAUAUAUACUGUCUCAUAUAUAUUUAAUGAAAUUAAAUUUUUAGUAAAAAUGCUGAAAUUUAUUUAUGGGACGAUAAGACCCUAUAGAAUUUUAUAUUAAUAUUUAAAUUACUAUUUAUUUUAAAUAUUAAUAUUUGGUUGGGAGGAUUGGUAAAUUUAAUAAACUUUAUUUUAAAUUAAAACUUUAAUUUGAGAAUUAUUUAUGAUCUUGUAUUAUGAAUUAAAAGAAUAAAUUACCUUAGGGAUAACAGCGUAAUAUCUUUUUAAAGAUCGUAUUAAUAAAGAUGAUUGCGACCUCGAUGUUGAAUUAAGAUAAAUUUUAAACGGAGUAGUUUAAUAAUUAAGUCUGUUCGACUUUUAAAAUCUU